rnacentral:tRNA from 1 species
GGAGCUGUGGCUCCGAGGUAAAGCAUGUGAUUAGCAUCCACAAGACUCUGGGUUCCAUCCUCAGCACCACCA